rnacentral:rRNA from 1 species
CUAAUACAUGCAAGUCGAACGCUUUUUCUUUCACCGGAGCUUGCUCCACCGAAAGAAAAAGAGUGGCGAACGGGUGAGUAACACGUGGGUAACCUGCCCAUCAGAAGGGGAUAACACUUGGAAACAGGUGCUAAUACCGUAUAACACUAUUUUCCGCAUGGAAGAAAGUUGAAAGGCGCUUUUGCGUCACUGAUGGAUGGACCCGCGGUGCAUUAGCUAGUUGGUGAGGUAACGGCUCACCAAGGCAACGAUGCAUAGCCGACCUGAGAGGGUGAUCGGCCACACUGGGACUGAGACACGGCCCAGACUCCUACGGGAGGCAGCAGUAGGGAAUCUUCGGCAAUGGACGAAAGUCUGACCGAGCAACGCCGCGUGAGUGAAGAAGGUUUUCGGAUCGUAAAACUCUGUUGUUAGAGAAGAACAAGGAUGAGAGUAGAACGUUCAUCCCUUGACGGUAUCUAACCAGAAAGCCACGGCUAACUACGUGCCAGCAGCCGCGGUAAUACGUAGGUGGCAAGCGUUGUCCGGAUUUAUUGGGCGUAAAGCGAGCGCAGGCGGUUUCUUAAGUCUGAUGUGAAAGCCCCCGGCUCAACCGGGGAGGGUCAUUGGAAACUGGGAGACUUGAGUGCAGAAGAGGAGAGUGGAAUUCCAUGUGUAGCGGUGAAAUGCGUAGAUAUAUGGAGGAACACCAGUGGCGAAGGCGGCUCUCUGGUCUGUAACUGACGCUGAG